AGUUAGGAGGCCCGGCCUCCCGUGGUCCGGGGGAAAUGGAAGGUGAGUCUUCCUCCACAACAACCACACGCCCCGCCGACUGGGGAGACCGGCCAGCCAUGUUUGCUUACGUCUAAUCUGUUUUGGCAACCCGUGUGCAUUUGCGCGUGCAUGUGCGCGUGCGCGUGCGUGCAUUUGAGUGUGUGUGAUUCUUUAUCUCUGUCCCAGGAGUCUCUACGGUGUAGAACAUGUGUUCUGUGUCCAUCGCCACCCCACGCUGCUGCAUGUGUUUCAGUCUGGCUUCCUGCAGGUGUCUGCUCAGACUGCAGUCAGUGCCGAAAUGCAGGCGCUGGUAAAUUUACAGCCCCUGGCUGCAGCUGGUCAUGUUUCAGAAUCAUGGCGUGUUCUCGUCUACCUGUCUGCUAAAGCGCUUCCACCCUUCCACAUGGCCGAGUUCCCGCACCGGACAGGUUGCUGCAGUAUAUUAGCGAGUUGUUGACUGGCCGGUGAAGAGCACAUUUGUCAACAUAUUAGAGUGUGUCAACACUUGAACAUCAGACCGUCAGGCCACCCAGCCAAUCCUCCGACACAGACUGACAUCAGGCUUCAGUGCAUUAAACGUGAGGUCCUGCAAUAACAACUUGAACUUGAAACGGCAAGGUGGGCAUCUGACUAGUGUCCAAAAAGUCCCUGCUUCUAAUCCCACUACAGCCAAGUUGCCAGAUCGUCUUGUCCCGUACAGUCGUUUCCAGCGGU